AGUGUCUUUGAUGCUGUAAGAUGUUUUUAUACAGGAUUGAUUUGUUACGGGAACCCAGACUUGUAUGACCACGAAAAAUUAAGUUCAGCUAUAUGGGAGAAAACUCAAGUGGAAGCAAUACAAAAUGAAAAGGCAGCAUAUCAGGUGAUGGAAGAUUUGGUUCGUAUAUGCUAUGACCUUUAUGAAAGUCAUACAAGGAUUAUUGUAUUCCUUGCCUCUCAAUUUGCAACCAAGUAUUUUCAACUUAUGUCAGAGUUACCACAUGAUUUCAAGAUGGAUGUUUAUACAUUAGUACAUAGAUGCUGGCUAAUUUGUGCUAGAUGUCAUUA